AGUGAACGCUGGCGGUAGGCCUAACACAUGCAAGUCGAACGGCAGCACAGUAAGAGCUUGCUCUUACGGGUGGCGAGUGGCGGACGGGUGAGGAAUACAUCGGAAUCUACUUUUUCGUGGGGGAUAACGUAGGGAAACUUACGCUAAUACCGCAUACGACCUACGGGUGAAAGCGGGGGAUCUUCGGACCUUGCGCGAUUGAAUGAGCCGAUGUCGGAUUAGCUAGUUGGCGGGGUAAAGGCCCACCAAGGCGACGAUCCGCAGCUGGUCUGAGAGGAUGAUCAGCCACACUGGAACUGAGACACGGUCCAGACUCCUACGGGAGGCAGCAGUGGGGAAUAUUGGACAAUGGGCGCAAGCCUGAUCCAGCCAUACCGCGUGGGUGAAGAAGGCCUUCGGGUUGUAAAGCCCUUUUGUUGGGAAAGAAAAGCAGCAGGUUAAUACCCCGCUGUUCUGACGGUACCCAAAGAAUAAGCACCGGCUAACUUCGUG
rnacentral:rRNA from 1 species